rnacentral:snRNA from 1 species
AUACUUACCUGGAUGGGGUCUAUGGAUGAUCAAGAAGGUCCAUGGCCUAGGUUGGUGACUUCCAUUGCACUUUGGGGGGGGGCGCUUGCCUAAGGUGUUCUCAAGUAGAACAGCCUACAUCAUAAUUUGUUGCAGUGGGGGCCUGCGUUCGCGCGGCCCCUUC